AUACCCUGCUCUCUCUUCAUUUAUGAAUAAAGCUUUUGCCUUUUACUAAAGAUUUCCGUGGAGAGGAACAAUCAUGAGUUAUUAAAAAAUUUUGUUGCCCAGUGAUAACAGGGCU